rnacentral:rRNA from 1 species
UAGUACGGCGAGUGAGAGGGAAUAGCCCAGAUUGAAAGCUGGCGUCUUCGGCGUCCGAUUGUAAUCUCAAGAAGGAUGCUCCGCUUCGGAACAUGCCUAAUCCCUUGGAAAGGGAAUCCUAAAAGGGGAUAAUCCCCGACUUGGGAUGGAACGGCGCUCUAUUUGUGAUACCCUUUCUACGAGUCGAGGUGUGUGAAUGUGCAUCUCAAUGUGAGGGGUUUUGCCAUCUAAGGCUUAUUAUUGGGGAAACACCGAUACACAACAAGUACAGAUGAUGAGAUGAUGAAAACAACUUUGAGAGAGAGUUAACAGUACGUGUUGUGCCAGGGGGAAGAUUGCAGACGGACUAGAUGCGUCUUGUCAUUCGCCUUGCUUUUGGUGUACUCUUUCCCAUGCUGGACGCCAUCGUCUGGUGUCGCUGCUGAAGACUUGAAGAAUGAACCUCCCUCCUCUCGGGGUGUGUUAUAUGCUCCUACUGGAUACCCGGACCAAGACCGAGCUUCGCCUAGGACUCUGAAGAACGGGUUGUUUUCCACCUUUCUGUAAAGGGGGAUAAGAUAAUGGGCCCUCUACCACCCGUCUUAA